GCUGGGAGGUAGAGGCUGCAGUGAGCUGUGAUCAAGCCACUGCACUCCAGCCUGGGUGACAGAGUGAGACCUUACGUCAAAUAAGUAAAUACUAGACAUGAAGUUAGUUCUGACUGUGUUUUGCUAUUAGCACUGUGAUUGAUCCUGGGUGAAAAUAUGAGCCUCAUUUUUCUUGUCUGUGAAAUGGCAAUGUGGCAAACUAUGCCAUGUUCAUUCUCACUAAGAGGGAAUAAAAGGAUUAGGCAAAAUAGCAUAAAAUAGAACUAGCAUGAUCUAUACUUUAUUCAGAAACCUAAAGCUGGAAAAUUUUUGGCUUUAUCAAAGCAGAAACUGUUCAUCAUGACUUGUGUCUCUAGCACUCAGCUGAGGUCUUGGCACAUUGUGGUUGCUCAGUAACUAUUAGUUAAGUGAGUGGAUAAUGGCAUUUUGCACUCUGCUUACAAUACUGUCUAUCUGUUCACCCAGAGUGAUUUAGCAAAAUUCAUACAAUCAAGCAUAGAUAGAUUGGUUGAUAGACAGAUAUAGAUACACAUACUCUUUAAUCUUCACAAUAAUCUUAUAACUUAGAAGACUUCACAGAGGUGGAAAUUAAGGCACUGAGAAGGUAAGAGAAUUAUCCAGACUCAUGCAGCUGUUAACCAGCAGAGCCAGGAUUUCAAACCCUAGAAGAAUGGAGUCCCAGUUCAUAAUCGUUCUGCUUUUAUACCUCUCCAGUGAAUUAUAGUGACAUCUACUUACGAAGGAAAUUGCCUUUCAGUGACACAUUUUUCCAGACACUUCCUUGUCAUUGAUACAAAUGAUUUAAGAGAUAUGGGGAUACAUUUUGGGGUAAGAUUUCUCCUUCUUCGGUGACAUACUACUUUUUCCCCUGCCCUCCUAGGACAGCGAGUCCCCUGAACCAUUACAGUCAUUGAAGCAAUGUUGCUGCCUUUCUUAGGACUACCAUUUCCCUAGUGAACAGAAAUGUCAUAAAUGGUUAUGGCCUGGACAGACUUCCACAAAUGUAGGAUGACAGAGUUUUGAUCUCUAGAAAUUUGAAUUUCCCCUCAUUUGGGGAAAUGAAUGGUCAUUUGCUGACCCACUCAUGUAAAACCUCAGCCUAUCGAGGUACGAGGUGGACUGAACUCCAGAGGCAGGGCUUAAGCACCUUACCAAAUUGACGUCUAGCUAAAAUAGGGACAGGGCAAAAGCAGCUUUCCAUAAGACAUGCCCACCAAUGUGCCAUGUCAGUUUAUCAUUACCUUGGCAACACCCAGAAAUUACCACCCCUUUCCAUGUCAACAACCAAACAAUACAGAAGUUACCCCCCUUUUCCUAGAAAUUUCUGCAUAACCACCCCUUAAUUUGCAUGUAAUUAAAAGCAGGUAUAAAUAUGACUGCAGAACAGCCUUUGCGCUCCUACUGUGGGCACACUGCCUAUGGGGGAUCCCUGCUGUGCAAGGAGCAGUACCUUUGCUGCUGUUGUACACUGCCACUUCAAUAAAAGUUGCUGUCUAACACCUCCAGCCCACCCUUGAAUUCUUUUCUGGGCAAAGCCAAGAACCCUCCUGUACUAAGCCCCAGUCUUGGGACUUGCCUGCCCUGCAUCACUGUGACAUCACUUUGCCUCUGUCUACUCAGUUCCCACCUAGGAUUCUGGGUCUCCCCUUAGGAACUAGCUGAAUAAAUGAGGUUUAUUUCUGGAAGAUUUGUCCAAGUAUCACUGGAUAUGAUUGACCACCAAAAGAUACCAAGUGUUUUGGGGACAGAGAAAAAAUUGAAAUUGGGGAAGUUAUAUAGAAGGCUUUCAGAAAGAGAUUGAGCUGAGUUUUGGAGAAGUUCUGUCACUUAAGUUUUUCUCAUAUUAUCUUCACAUACCUAAGAAAUAGACAGGUGGAAAAGAAUGGUGAGGAAAACCCAGGCAAGAGUAAUGGAGUGAGCAGAAGCUGAAGAGUAGGCAAGUGCAAGGCACACUUUUGGAUAAUUGAACAAACCAACCUAUAUACAAAAAUAGUGGGAGGUAAUGACUGGAAAGAUAGGCAGGGUUAUGGCCUUGAACAUCAGACUGAAAAAGUUUACAGUGUGGGAGAAAAAAACAUGAGAAUCAUCUAGUCCUGUUUUUUCAUCAUACAGGUGAUAAAACUAACAGAAGAGAGUUGAUCAAGGUCACAGAAUGAGUAAGAGGCAGAUUUUGCACUUUAACCCAGGUCCUUCGAUCAAUGUACGGUGUUCUUCCCAUGUAUUUACACACAUGGAAUCAUACCACAGGCAGACUGAUAGGAGAGAGAAGUCAUAAAAGGGCACCUUGCAGCCUGAAGACAAUCCUUGCUUUGCUUUAAUGGUGGCAACAGGAAAAAAAAAGUGGCUUACAGGCUAGUUAAAUGUUUUUAAGAUAAAUGUUCUCAAUAGGCUUAACUGGUCUCCCAAAGUCAUUGUAGCAGACAGAGACACCCUUUUUAGUUAGUUUGUUUGAUUGUUUUAUUGUUGUUGUUGUUCUUCUUUUUGCCUCCAAUAGCCUGUUGUCCUGUCUCUCAAUUUUAGUUUAGUUCCUCUCACAGGAAUUCAAUGGGAAACCUGGAGCAAGUUCCACUUUUGGACAUGGCUAUGUAAUGUAUCCUUUUGAAAUUCCCUGUCAUAAACAGGUAUUGAGUGAUGUAACAUACAGGCCCUUGAAACUCUUACAGCUACAAUAUAUGUAAAAAAGUGUGGCACUCAUAAGAAUGUUAUGUGGGAAAUGAUAAGAAACCGUCCUCUCUUGAUAAUUUAAAUUUGUUCACUUAAGAAGAAAUUUUUAUUUAAUAUUUGUCAGCAUCAUUUGGAUAUCUUUGGUAUGGAAAAGAACAAAUAAUAUAUUUGGUUGUUAUGUGUAUGUUUUAGAAAAUAUACUAAUACAGUUAAAUUUAAUUGAUGUAAGUUGGUAUAAAACACUUAAAUGAUACCAACUCUGUCAUCUAGGCUUACAUUCUAAAAGACAAAAAUAAUUGGGCAUUGCAACUGAAAAACACCUAUAUGAUAAUCCUUCUUCUAGCAAGGAGACAAAGAUAAGGUGGUGUGCGAUUUUUAUCCUUUUUAAAGUUGAAAAUCUAGUCCACUGUGCUACAUACUUUUUCACUUACCUUUUUAUUGCUGUCAACAAAGAUAAUAUCCCCAUUUCUCAGACAAGGAAACUGAGAUCUUUUGAGAUAAGCAGCUUUCCUGAGAAAUGACAGUAGAUAUCAAAGCCAGGAUCUAAGGCCAGGUUAUUUAGAUCCUAGUGCUUUAUAUAUAGUAACUUAGUAUUUAUUUAAUAAGUUAUCAACUCUGAGUAACUAUAUGAUUAGUAUAACAUUCAACAGUUAGUUCUAAUUAUCAAGUAAUAUGGGGAAGAAAAGCAGAGUCAUAAUCUGCACAUAUUCCAGAUCUCUUUUUCCCCCUCACGAUUCUUUACUGGUUAUAGGCAUAUGUUUAAUAUAUUAUUUUCUCUCUUCUGCCCUCCACCAGAGGGUGCUCAUAAGCAACUAAAUGACAAAGCUGUAGCAAUAGGAACUGAGAAAGAAGGGCUAUUUUAAUUCACAGUGUGGAUUAUUGGCCUCUUUGAUUAAAAAAAAAAAAAAAAAAAAAAGGUUGACUUUGAAACAGAGCUCUUGAUUCAACUGAAGUAACUUUGGUUUAAAGUUGCCUUACAAAUAACAUCUUGAGCACUUACAUACCUGAGGAUAAUACUUUUUUAUAUAGGUAAAGUUGACCGUUCUCUCUAAAUAGGUCUGAGGGGCUAUGCCACUAGAUAGGGUUAGGUUGGUCUAAUAGGGCUGUAUUUCUUAUUGUGUAACUUAAUGUUCUUCAGAAGUAUUUUAAUGUAAAAUGCUAAAGAACCUCUUCUAGUAUAUUCACUAAAAUCAAUAAGUAAUGAAGCACAAGACUAUUGAUAUCUGUGUUUAGUUAUAAAAGUAUAUUCAUUUAGAAAUUUUGCUAUUUCUGUUACAGUGAGCAGCUCUUUAUCUCCCUAUGACAUAAUCUGGUUUUGGGGGAUGAAAUGCACUCAAAAGUUUUUUUAAAAAAGUUUUUGUGUUGAACAACCUCUCUUUGAUAGGCAAAAUCUCAAGAUAAUGUUGGGCAGUAUAAG